GGCUCAGGACGAACGCUGGCGGCGUGCUUAAUACAUGCAAGUCGAGCGGACCAAUUAGAAAGCUUGCUUUUUAAUUGGUUAGCGGCGGACGGGUGAGUAACACGUGGGUAACCUGCCCUAUAGACCGGGAUAACUCGCGGAAACGCGUGCUAAUACCGGAUAACACACCGAAGCGCAUGCUUCGGGGUUGAAAGAUGGUUCUGCUAUCACUAUAGGAUGGGCCCGCGGCGCAUUAGCUAGUUGGUGGGGUAACGGCCUACCAAGGCGACGAUGCGUAGCCGACCUGAGAGGGUGAUCGGCCACACUGGGACUGAGACACGGCCCAGACUCCUACGGGAGGCAGCAGUAGGGAAUCUUCCACAAUGGGCGAAAGCCUGAUGGAGCAACGCCGCGUGAGCGAAGAAGGUCUUCGGAUCGUAAAGCUCUGUUGUAAGGGAAGAACAAGCGCAGCAGUCACUGGCUGCGCCCUGACGGUACCUUACUAGAAAGCCACGCUAACUACGUGCCAGCAGCCGCGGUAAUACGU
rnacentral:rRNA from 1 species